rnacentral:piRNA from 1 species
UAAAAAUAAAAUUUCAAUGCUCACCCUCA